rnacentral:rRNA from 1 species
AUGGCGCAUUCAGAAAAGAAUCUCUCUGUGAUCGUGCUCCUAAUUGUCAUCGUGGCCGCCGUAUGUCCACUAUGUUCAAUGGCGUUUGUAUGCGACGAGCCGAGUCAAUGCCGGCACCCGAGACGCAAUUAUAGAGGACCAUGCUUUGGCCUUACCGAUGGUUGCGAUCAUACAUGCCAUGAUGAAAGCUCUCAUAACGUGCGGGGCGAUUGUGACUGUGACUUUAAAUACUACUGCUAUACAUGCUAG